CGCCUGGGGAGUACGGCCGCAAGGUUAAAACUCAAAUGAAUUGACGGGGGCCCGCACAAGCGGUGGAGCAUGUGGUUUAAUUCGACGCAACGCGAAGAACCUUACCUGGCCUUGACAUCCAGAGAACUUUCCAGAGAUGGAUUGGUGCCUUCGGGAACUCUGAGACAGGUGCUGCAUGGCCGUCGUCAGCUCGUGUCGUGAGAUGUUGGGUUAAGUCCCGUAACGAGCGCAACCCCUAUCCCUGGUUGCUAGCAGGUAAUGCUGAGAACUCCAGGGAGACUGCCGGUGACAAACCGGAGGAAGGUGGGGAUGACGUCAGGUCAUCAUGGCCCUUACGGCCAGGGCUACACACGUGCUACAAUGGCGCGUACAGAGGGCUGCCAACUCGCGAGAGUGAGCCAAUCCCUUAAAACGCGUCGUAGUCCGGAUCGGAGUCUGCAACUCGACUCCGUGAAGUCGGAAUCGCUAGUAAUCGCGAAUCAGAAUGUCGCGGUGAAUACGUUCCCGGGCCUUGUACACGCCGCCCGUCACACCAUGGGAGUGGAUGCACCAGAAGUAGUUAGUCUAACCUUCGGGAGGACGAUUACCACGGUGUGGUUCAUGACUGGGGUGAAGUCGUAACAAGGUAACCGUA
rnacentral:rRNA from 1 species